CUUUACCCUUCUUGGUCGUAGCAAUGUAGUGGGAGCUGCAAGCUUCACUGUUUUAACUUUGUCAGAGCACUUUGAAAAAGUGGUAUGUGGUAUCUGGAAAGCUGAUGUUGCGUGUGAAGAUUGCAGACAAGCUUUAUCCAAGGAAAUCUUGCUCUCGAAGUUCGGAGAGCGAUGCCUCUUCGGUUUUUGAACAAGCAAUCCUAUCGGGGAUCUGGCUCUCGAGAUUCGGAGAACGGUGCCUCUUUGAUUUUUAAGAAAGUAAUUCUGCUUGAGAUUCGGAGAGCGGUGCCUCUUCGAUUUUUGAGAAAGUAAUCCUGUUGGGAGU
rnacentral:lncRNA from 1 species